rnacentral:rRNA from 1 species
ACGAACGCUGGCGGCAUGCCUAGCACAUGCAAGUCGAACGAAGCCUUCGGGCUUAGUGGCGCACGGGUGCGUAACGCGUGGGAAUCUGCCCCUUGCUUCGGAAUAACAGUUAGAAAUGACUGCUAAUACCGGAUGAAGUCUUCGGACCAAAGAUUUAUCGGCAAGGGAUGAGCCCGCGUAGGAUUAGGUAGUUGGUGGGGUAAAGGCCUACCAAGCCGACGAUCCUUAGCUGGUCUGAGAGGAUGAUCAGCCACACUGGGACUGAGACACGGCCCAGACUCCUACGGGAAGCAGCAGUGGGGAAUAUUGGACAAUGGACGCAAGUCUGAUCCAGCAAUGCCGCGUGAGUGAUGAAGGCCUUAGGGUUGUAAAGCUCUUUUACCAGGGAUGAUAAUGACAGUACCUGGAGAAUAAGCUCCGGCUAACUCCGUG